CAAAUCUAUUAGAAAUUGUCCUAAGACAUUCUAAACCUUGCCCACCUCACAAUCGAAUUUCCAUAGCCUAGCUUCCUACUAGCAACUCAAAAUAAAGGAAGGAAAGCUUCCACUCGAGACACAGCACUUCUGAUUCAUUAGAAUAACUUUAAGAAAGGAACAUUAUCUUGCGGCUUACCUGUUCUAUAAGAAAAGCACAUUAUUCACUACGCUUGACUUUCUGUAA
rnacentral:lncRNA from 1 species